AAUAGAACCUGAAACCGUGUGCCUACAACAAGUUCGAGCCCGUUAAUGGGUGAGAGCGUGCCUUUUGUAGAAUGAACCGGCGAGUUACGAUAUGAUGCGAGGUUAAGUUGAAGAGACGGAGCCGUAGGGAAACCGAGUCUUAAUAGGGCGAUUUAGUAUCAUGUUGUAGACCCGAAACCAUGUGACCUACCCAUGAGCAGGUUGAAGGUGAGGUAAAACUCACUGGAGGACCGAACCAGGGCACGUUGAAAAGUGCUUGGAUGACUUGUGGGUAGCGGAGAAAUUCCAAACGAACUUGGAGAUAGCUGGUUCUCUCCGAAAUAGCUUUAGGGCUAGCGUCGAUGUUAAGUCUCUUGGAGGUAGAGCACUGUUUGGGUGAGGGGUCCAUCUCGGAUUACCAAUCUCAGAUAAACUCCGAAUGCCAACGAGAUAUCAUCGGCAGUCAGACUGCGAGUGCUAAGAUCCGUAGUCGAAAGGGAAACAGCCCAGACCACCAGCUAAGGUCCCAAAAUAACUGUUAAGUGGAAAAGGAUGUGGGGUUGCACAGACAACUAGGAUGUUAGCUUAGAAGCAGCUAUUCAUUCAAAGAGUGCGUAAUAGCUCACUAGUCGAGUGACCCUGCGCCGAAAAUGUACCGGGGCUAAAACAGUUUACCGAAGCUGUGGAUGACACAAAAGUGUCAUGGUAGGAGAGCGUUCUAUGUGUGAAGAAGGUGUACCGUGAGGAGCGCUGGAACGCAUAGAAGUGAGAAUGCCGGUAUGAGUAGCGAAAGACAGGUGAGAAUCCUGUCCACCGUAAGACUAAGGUUUCCAGGGGAAGGCUCGUCCGCCCUGGGUUAGUCGGGACCUAAGGAGAGACCGAAAGGUGUAUCCGAUGGCCAACAGGUUGAUAUUCCUGUACUAGAGUAUAUAGUGAUGGAGGGACGCAGUAGGCUAACUAAACCGGACGAUUGGAAGAGUCCGGCUAAGCAGUGAGGUGUAAGAUGAGUCAAAUGCUUAUCUUUAUAACAUUGAGCUGUGAUGGGGAGCGAAUUUUAGUAGCGAAGUUAGUGAUGUCACACUGCCAAGAAAAGCUUCUAGCGUUUAAUGAUACUCUACCCGUACCGCAAACCGACACAGGUAGUCGAGGCGAGUAGCCUCAGGUGAUCGAGAGAACUCUCGUUAAGGAACUCGGCAAAAUGACCCCGUAACUUCGGGAGAAGGGGUGCUGACUUAGGUCAGCCGCAGUGAAUAGGCCCAAGCAACUGUUUAUCAAAAACACAGCUCUCUGCUAAAUCGUAAGAUGAUGUAUAGGGGGUGACGCCUGCCCGGUGCUGGAAGGUUAAGAGGAGGGUUUAGCGCAAGCGAAGAUCUGAAUUGAAGCCCCAGUAAACGGCGGCCGUAACUAUAACGGUCCUAAGGUAGCGAAAUUCCUUGUCGGGUAAGUUCCGACCCGCACGAAAGGCGUAAUGAUUUGGGCACUGUCUCAACGAGAGACUCGGUGAAAUUUUAGUACCUGUGAAGAUGCAGGUUACCCGCGACAGGACGGAAAGACCCCAUGGAGCUUUACUGCAGUUUGAUAUUGAGUAUCUGUACCACAUGUACAGGAUAGGUAGGAGCCAUUGACUUCGGGACGCCAGUUUCGAAUGAGGCGUUGUUGGGAUACUACCCUUGUGUUAUGGCUACUCUAACCCAGAUAGGUUAUCCCUAUCGGAGACAGUGUCUGACGGGCAGUUUGACUGGGGCGGUCGCCUCCUAAAGAGUAACGGAGGCGCCCAAAGGUUCCCUCAGAUUGGUUGGAAAUCAAUCGCAGAGUGUAAAGGUAUAAGGGAGCUUGACUGCGAGAGCUACAACUCGAGCAGGGACGAAAGUCGGGCUUAGUGAUCCGGUGGUACCGAAUGGAAGGGCCAUCGCUCAACGGAUAAAAGCUACCCUGGGGAUAACAGGCUUAUCUCCCCCAAGAGUUCACAUCGACGGGGAGGUUUGGCACCUCGAUGUCGGCUCGUCGCAUCCUGGGGCUGUAGUCGGUCCCAAGGGUUGGGCUGUUCGCCCAUUAAAGCGGCACGCGAGCUGGGUUCAGAACGUCGUGAGACAGUUCGGUCCCUAUCCGUCGCGGGCGUAGGAAAUUUGAGAGGAUCUGCUCCUAGUACGAGAGGACCAGAGUGGACUUACCGCUGGUGUACCAGUUGUCUUGCCAAAGGCAUCGCUGGGUAGCUAUGUAGGGAAGGGAUAAGCGCUGAAAGCAUCUAAGUGCGAAGCCCCCCUCAAGAUGAGAUUUCCCAUGAUUUUAUAUCAGUAAGAGCCCUGAGAGAUGAUCAGGUAGAUAGGUUAGGAGUGUAAGUGUAGCGAUACAUGUAGCGGACUAAUACUAAUAGCUCGAGGACUUAUCCAA
rnacentral:rRNA from 1 species